rfam:Ornithorhynchus anatinus chromosome 5, whole genome shotgun sequence.
UCUCUCUCAGGAUCACAUCUGGAGAGUUUCCAGUACUCUGCCAGUCUCAGCUAUGGGAGAGAGAGCCAAGCAGAGACCUACCCAUUCCAUUGCUAGCUUGGGCAGUAGCUAGCUAAUGGAGGGCAAUCUGCUACAAGU